ensembl:lncRNA
GUUAGUAAUUAUGUAUCCUCAUUUUGUUGACAAAUUUGAUCAUUCACACCAAGUGACGUUAAGUAAACUAGUGUAGCGACUGUACAACAAAGUCAAAUCCACUCGGAUAAUACCAGUAACCUGGCAACCUUGCGCGUGCUCAGGACUGACGUCAGAAGAGAAUUAGCGCCUUUUCCCUUCAGCGAUUAAACGACAAGAGAGAAACUUCCUGGACCGCAGCCAUUGAGGUGGCCAAAUGAAGUGAACGUGGUCUGCGUGGCUACCACGUGUCAAUCGUACCUUCAAAUCCGACAGCUGUGAGGGAAGAAGAGGAGGGGGAACAGAGAGCGAGCAGGAAGGAAACAGAGUGAGCAAAAAGGCAGUAGGACGACCGCCAAUGCAAUGAUAAUUAUAGUCUCCGGAAGACAAAAAAACCCCUCAGAUCAACAUAAAAUAAAGACAUAUUGAGCUAUGAAUUUUUGCCCGAGGUGAAUGCUGACAGUAUCUCUCUGUGCUAUCCAAAUCUGUCCCAGAGAUUAUUCCUCAAUUUUAGUCCUCUGGAGGAGAAACCCCUGCACUACAUCUCAUCCACGGGCACAGCCAUCACUCACAUGGUCAUAUUUGAAUUAGGUGUCUAGACAUAAAGUUUGCCAAAGGACUCCUCUGCUCCGAGGGGUUCCGCAGAGCCCUCGUCCUCUAUCGUCCUGAUAGAGUCCCAGGAAGGGAAUGGAAUUCAGGUGUAAAUGAAUACGAUCUGAAGGGGUUUCCUGGGAAUGGUCGGCUGACGUCCCCAAAAGACUCUUUUUCAGGAUGGGAAAGAAAAAACACAAGAUACAACAGAAACCGUGAGGUUGUGAGUUAGAGUGUAAGAUACAAAGCGGUAACAAACAAUAGUGUAUCGAAAGGGACGACGUAAAGGUCAACCAAGCAACACUCAUGACUACUAAAGGAAGUAUAAAUAUGUAUGACUCCACCUCCCAGCACAGGUAGGUAGUGCAUGCAGUACGCCUCGCUUAUUUAAAUAAGGGAUAAAUGCUCUUGUGAGACAUUAAGAAUGGAAACCAUCCAACCACAGGUCUGAUCAUGACUUGAAAUCUCAAUUAUGACCUUGUGUGUGAAACAUACUUAGGAUGUAGGGUUGCUCACUUAGGACCUUGUUUACAUUAGAUAGCGGCCGACAUAGCAAUAAGCUGCCUGGGUCACACUCUUAACUUCAUGAAAAGAGUAAGCAACUACACACAUUAUGAUCAUUUAUAGAUUCAAGUCGCUAUUAUCAUAUUUUAACUGGGCAAUUUACUGAUGCAUCUACAUGGCCUGCAUAUGUAAAGGUAAGUCGGCUAUAACUUUAUGGGGAACAUACAUCUAAAUAAUAUUCUGGACCACGGUUGUGGGCCGGCUGACCCACCAAUAGGCCAACAUUACCACAGCUACUUAAAAAUAACGCUUAAAGAUGCUCCCAGAGGGUCAUUUGCUAUGGCUUGGCAAAGGAUUUUUGUUCAUGUUAAUGGGUUCUAUGAUAAUGAGUUUCUAUGCCAGAUGUUUGAUCAUUGUGCAACGUUAACAUGCAGCGCAUUUGAAAUUGGGCAGGGAUUUUUUUGAAUGCAAUGUUAGUGCUAAAUUCCUACAUUUACAAACCGUGAUCCAAAUUGCAGCAGAAAACCAAUUGAUUUAAUUUACCAUCACGGACAUCAGUAAAUGGAUGCCUCUUCCAUUUGGAGCUGAAAACCAACCUGUGACCAAG